rnacentral:rRNA from 1 species
ACGAACGCUGGCGGCGUGCCUAAUACAUGCAAGUCGAACGCACUCUCGUUAGAUUGAAGAAGCUUGCUUCUGAUUGAUAACAUUUGAGUGAGUGGCGGACGGGUGAGUAACACGUGGGUAACCUGCCCUAAAGUGGGGGAUAACAUUUGGAAACAGAUGCUAAUACCGCAUAAAACCUAGCACCGCAUGGUGCAAGGUUGAAAGAUGGUUUCGGCUAUCACUUUAGGAUGGACCCGCGGUGCAUUAGUUAGUUGGUGAGGUAAAGGCUCACCAAGACCGUGAUGCAUAGCCGCCCUGAGAGGGUAAUCGGCCACACUGGGACUGAGACACGGCCCAGACUCCUACGGGAGGCAGCAGUAGGGAAUCUUCCACAAUGGACGAAAGUCUGAUGGAGCAACGCCGCGUGAGUGAAGAAGGUUUUCGGAUCGUAAAACUCUGUUGUUGGAGAAGAACGUAUUUGAUAGUAACUGAUCAGGUAGUGACGGUAUCCAACCAGAAAGCCACGGCUAACUACGUG